UACAGAGACUGCGAGCGUUAUUCGGAUUCACUGGGCGUAAAGGGUGCGUAGGCGGCCGUGUGUGUGAGGCGUGAAAGCCCGGGGCUUAACCCCGGAAGUGCAUUGGAUACUGGGAAGCUAGAGGGUGUAAGAGGAGAGUGGAAUUCAUGGUGUAGGGGUGAAAUCCGUAGAUAUCAUGAGGAACAUCAGUGGCGAAGGCGGCUCUCUGGUACACUUCUGACGCUCAGACGCGAAAGCAUGGGGAGCAAACAGG
rnacentral:rRNA from 1 species